rnacentral:rRNA from 1 species
CAGCAGCCACGGUAAUACGAAGGGUGUAAGCGUUAAUCGGAAUUACUGGGCGUAAAGCGUGCGUAGGCGGUUUGUUAAGUCUGCUGUGAAAUCCCCGGGCUCAACCUGGGAAUGGCAGUGGAUACUGGCAAGCUAGAGUGUGUCAGAGGAUGGUGGAAUUCCCGGUGUAGCGGUGAAAUGCGUAGAGAUCGGGAGGAACAUCAGUGGCGAAGGCGGCCAUCUGGGACAACACUGACGCUGAGGCACGAAAGCGUGGGGAGCAAACAGGAUUAGAUACCCGCGUAGUCCCUGUCUCUUAUAC